CUACCAUCUCCCUUCUGGCAUUCUUCAUUGGAUACCUCAUGACUAGAAUUGCUAUGGCACUGCCACAUGCUUGUGUGAGCUGCUACUACGUUUGCUAUGCAGAAAAUCCCGAGAACAGAUUGUUUGAUAAAACCAUGAAAGAUCGCCAGAACUUGUUGAAAUCCGGCCGCGAUGUGGUCGUUCCUACUCCUCGGGCCCCCCAUCGACUUAGCUCAUAAACUAAGGCGAGA
rnacentral:misc_RNA from 1 species